rnacentral:rRNA from 1 species
GAGUUUGAUCCUGGCUCAGGAUGAACGCUAGCGACAGGCCUAACACAUGCAAGUCGAGGGGCAGCAUUUCCAGCUUGCUGGAAGAUGGCGACCGGCGCACGGGUGAGUAACGCGUAUGCAACCUACCUUACAUUGGGGGAUAGCCCAGAGAAGUCUGGAUUAAUACCGCAUAAUAUAUUUGAAUCGCAUGGUUUAAAUAUUAAAACUCCGGUGAUGUAAGAUGGGCAUGCGUAGCAUUAGUUAGUUGGUAAGGUAACGGCUUACCAAGACGAUGAUGCUUAGGGGGUCUGAGAGGAUAGUCCCCCACACUGGUACUGAGACACGGACCAGACUCCUACGGGAGGCAGCAGUGAGGAAUAUUGGUCAAUGGACGCAAGUCUGAACCAGCCAUGUCGCGUGCAGGAUGACGGCCCUAUGGGUUGUAAACUGCUUUUUUACAGGAAUAAACGUUGCUACGUGUAGUGAUUUGAAUGUACUGUAUGAAUAAGGAUCGGCUAACUCCGUGCCAGCAGCCGCGGUAAUACGGAGGAUUCGAGCGUUAUCCGGAUUUAUUGGGUUUAAAGGGUCCGUAGGCGGUCUUUUAAGUCAGUGGUGAAAUCCCAGAGCUCAACUCUGGAACUGCCAUUGAAACUGAGAGACUUGAAUAUGGUUGAGGUAGGCGGAAUACGUUAUGUAGCGGUGAAAUGCAUAGAUAUAACGUAGAACACCAAUUGCGAAGGCAGCUUACUAAACCAUUAUUGACGCUGAUGGACGAAAGCGUGGGGAGCGAACAGGAUUAGAUACCCUGGUAGUCCACGCCGUAAACGAUGAUUACUCGUUGUGCACAAUACAUCGUGCGUGACUGAGCGAAAGCAUUAAGUAAUCCACCUGGGGAGUACGUUCGCAAGAAUGAAACUCAAAGGAAUGACGG